AUACGUAGGUGACAAGCGUUAUCCGGAUUUACUGGGCGUAAAGGGCGUGUAGGCGGUCUUGCAAGUCAGAAGUGAAAUUCCUGAGCUCAACUCGGGCGCUGCUUCUGAAACUGCAGGACUUGAGUGCUGGAGGGGAUAGCGGAAUUCCUAGUGGAGCGGUAAAAUGCGCAGACAUUAGGAAGAACACCGGUGGCGAAGGCGGAUAUCUGGACAGUAACUGAAGCUGGGGCUCGAAAGCGUGGGGAGAAAACAGGAUGAGAUUCCCUGGUAGUCCAAGCCGUAAACGAUGAAUACUAGGUGUAGGGGGUAUCGACUCCCUCUGUGCCGCAGUUAACACAAUAAGUAGUCCGCCUGGGGAGUACGGCCGCAAGGUUGAAACUCAAAUGAAUUGGCGGGG
rnacentral:rRNA from 1 species